GGGCAGACCGGGCGAGCAGGCGCGGUAAUACGGGGGUGGUAAGCGUUGUUCGGAAUUACGGGGGGUAAAGGGCUCGUAGGCGGCCAACUAAGUCAUACGUGAAAUCCCGCAGCUGAACUGGGGAACUGCGUGGGAUACUGGAUGGCUUGGAUUUGGGAGAGGGAUGCGGAAUUCCAGGUGUAGCGGUGAAAUGCGUAGAUAUCUGGAGGAACACCGGUGGCGAAGGCGGCAUCCUGGACCAAUAUUGACGCUGAGGAGCGAAAGCCAGGGGAGCAAACGGGAUUAGAUACCCUUGUAGUC
rnacentral:rRNA from 1 species